CUAAGCAAGAAAGAGCGUAUGGCGGAUGCCUAGGCACUAAGAGGCGAAGAAGGACGCAGCGAACGGCGAAACGCGACGGCGAGCAGUAAGCAGGCAACGACCCGUCGAUGUCCGAAUGGGGGAACCCAUCAUUUUGAGAGGAAUGAUAUCGUCUGAUGAAUAAAUAGUCAGACGAGGCGAGACGCAGGGAACUGAAACAUCUCAGUACCUGCAGGAGAAGAAAGUAAGAACGAUUCCGUAAGUAGCGGCGAGCGAAAGCGGAGGAGCCCAAACCAUCGUAAAGAUGGGGUUAUAGGGCUGCCAAUAAAGUCGACUUGACAUGAUAGGAGAAGCGCAGGGGAAGGCGCAGCGAAGAGGGUGACACUCCCGUAUCCGAAAUCGUGGAGAGAGGCGAGGCAGUACCUGAGUACGUCGGGGCACGUGAAAUCCUGACGGAAUUAUCGAGGACCAUCUCGAAAGGCUAAAUACUCCUUAGUGACCGAUAGCGAACCAGUACCGUGAGGGAAAGGUGAAAAGAACCCCGGGAGGGGAGUGAAAGAGAACCUGAAACCAUAUGCUUACAAGAAGUCAGAGCCCGUUAAAGGGUGAUGGCGUGCCUUUUGUAGAAUGAGCCGGCGAGUUAUGAUAUGGAGCGAGGUUAAGCGGGAGACGCGGAGCCGAAGCGAAAGCGAGUCUUAAUAGGGCGACAGUUGCAUGUCAUAGACCCGAAACCGGGUGAUCUAGCCAUGAUCAGGUUGAAGUUGGGGUAGAACCCGAUGGAGGACCGAACCGACCCCCGUUGAAACGUUGGCGGAUGAAUUGUGGCUAGGGGUGAAAUUCCAAACGAACCCGGAGAUAGCUGGUUCUCCCCGAAAUAGCUUUAGGGCUAGCGUCGCGCGAAGUCACGUGAAGGUAGAGCACUGAAUAUGUGAUGGCCUCAUCCCGAGGUACUGAGCAUAAUCAAACUCCGAAUGUCACGAGGACAUGCGCGGCAGUCAGACUGCGGGUGAUAAGGUCCGUAGUCAAGAGGGAAACAGCCCAGACCAUCAGCUAAGGUCCCAAAAUAUAUGCUAAGUGGAAAAGGAUGUGGAGAUGUCCAGACAACCAGGAGGUUGGCUCAGAAGCAGCCACCCUUUAAAGAGUGCGUAACAGCUCACUGGUCGAAUGACUCUGCGCCGAAAAUUUACCGGGGCUAAGCAUAAUACCGAAGCUAUGGAUUUAUAGAGAAUAUAAGUGGUAGGGGAGCGUUCCAGUCAGCGAGGAAGCAUGAUCGUAAGGACAUGUGGAGCGGCUGGAAGAGAGAAUGCCGGUGUGAGUAGCGGCACGUGGGUGAGAAUCCCACGCACCGAAGACCCAAGGUUUCCAGAGGAAGGUUCGUCCGCUCUGGGUAAGUCGGGACCUAAGGCGAGGCCGAGAGGCGUAGUCGAUGGACAACGGGUGGAUAUUCCCGUACCUGGCGUGAGGGCGAUGGAGUGACGGAGAAGGCUAGGCGAUCCAGCUGCUGGAAUAGCUGGUGCAAGCGAGGUAGGGGACAUCCAGGCAAAUCCGGAUGUAAUUUCGAAAAUAACCCGAAGACGUGAAGCGUAUGGAACAUUACGAUAAGUACAGAAGUCGCCGAAGCCAUCUUCCAAGAAAAGCUUCUAGCGAUACCUCAAGUCAGCCCGUACCGAAAAUGGACACACAUGGGUGAGGAGAGAAUCCUAAGGUGAGCGAGAGAACUAUAGCUAAGGAACUCUGCAAAAUGACUCCGUAACUUCGGGAGAAGGAGUGCUCAGUGAAAGCUGAGCCGCAGUAAAACGGCCCAAGCGACUGUUUACCAAAAACACAGCUCUCUGCCAAGACGCAAGUCGAAGUAUAGGGGGUGACGCCUGCCCGGUGCUGGAAGGUUAAGAGGAGUGUUCAGUCAUAAGGCGAAGCCAUGAAUUGAAGCCCCAGUAAACGGCGGCCGUAACUAUAACGGUCCUAAGGUAGCGAAAUUCCUUGUCAGGUAAGUUCUGACCCGCACGAAAGGCGUAACGAUUUGGGCGCUGUCUCAGCUGUAGACUCGGUGAAGUCUUAGUACCUGUGAAGAUGCAGGUUACCCGCGACUAGACGGAAAGACCCCAUGGAGCUUUACUGUAGCUUGAUAUUGGAUUUUGAUGCAUGAUGUACAGGAUAGGUAGGAGACUGGGAGACGGAUACGCCAGUAUUCGAGGAGUCGACGUUGGGAUACUACCCUUGAUGCAUUGAAGUUCUAACCGGACGUCGUGAAGCCGAUGACGGGACAGUGUCAGGUGGGCAGUUUGACUGGGGCGGUCGCCUCCCAAAGAGUAACGGAGGCGCCCAAAGAUACCCUCAGCAUGGUUGGAAAUCAUGCGCAGAGUGCGAAGGCAGAAGGGUGUUUGACUGCGAGACAUACAGGUCGAGCAGGGACGAAAGUCGGGCUUAGUGAUCCGGCGGUGCCGAAUGGAAGGGCCGUCGCUCAACGGAUAAA
rnacentral:rRNA from 1 species